AGCAGUCGCCGCGGUAAUACGAAGGGUGCAAGCGUUAAUCGGAAUUACUGGGCGUAAAGCGUGCGUAGGCGGUGAGUUAAGUCUGAUGUGAAAUCCCUGGGCUCAACCUAGGAAUGGCAGUGGAUACUGGCUCGCUAGAGUGUGUCAGAGGAUGGUGGAAUUCCCGGUGUAGCGGUGAAAUGCGUAGAGAUCGGGAGGAACAUCAGUGGCGAAGGCAGCCAUCUGGGACAACACUGACGCUGAGGUACGAAAGCGUGGGGAGCAAACAGGAUUAGAUACCCGGGUAGUCCCUGUCUCUUAUAA
rnacentral:rRNA from 1 species